rnacentral:rRNA from 1 species
UACGUAGGGCGCAAGCGUUAUCCGGAAUUACUGGGCGUAAAGCGUGCGCAGGCGGCGCGUUAAGACAGGUGUGAAAGCCCCGAGCUUAACUUGGGAAUUGCGCUUGUGACUGGCGUGCUGGAGUGUGGCAGAGGGAGGUGGAAUUCCACGUGUAGCAGUGAAAUGCGUAGAGAUGUGGAGGAACACCGAUGGCGAAGGCAGCCUCCUGGGCCAGCACUGACGCUCAUGCACGAAAGCGUGGGGAGCAAACAGG